rnacentral:antisense_RNA from 1 species
CUCUAUGGGUGGCAAUGGCGGGGAGCCCUCGGGCUGCCGGUUUGCGUUUGGUACCGGUCUUCCUGCCCUGCCAUUUGCCGCCCUCCCGU